GAUGAACGCUGGCGGCGUGCCUAAUACAUGCAAGUCGAGCGAACAGACGAGGAGCUUGCUCCUCUGACGUUAGCGGCGGACGGGUGAGUAACACGUGGAUAACCUACCUAUAAGACUGGGAUAACUUCGGGAAACCGGAGCUAAUACCGGAUAACAUGUUGAACCGCAUGGUUUAACAGUGAAAGACGGUCUUGCUGUCACUUAUAGAUGGAUCCGCGCCGCAUUAGCUAGUUGGUAAGGUAACGGCUUACCAAGGCAACGAUGCGUAGCCAACCUGAGAGGGUGAUCGGCCACACUGGAACUGAGACACGGUCCAGACUCCUACGGGAGGCAGCAGUAGGGAAUCUUCCGCAAUGGGCGAAAGCCUGACGGAGCAACGCCGCGUGAGUGAAGAAGGUCUUCGGAUCGUAAAACUCUGUUAUUAGGGAAGAACAAAUGUGUAAGUAACUAUGCACGUCUUGACGGUACCUAAUCAGAAAGCCACGGCUAACUACGUG
rnacentral:rRNA from 1 species